GACGUAGGGGGCUAGCGUUGUCCGGAAUCAUUGGGCGUAAAGAGCGUGUAGGCGGUCCGGUAAGUCCGCUGUGAAAGUCGGGGGCUCAACCCUCGAAUGCCGGUGGAUACUGUCGGGCUAGAGUGCGGAAGAGGCGAGUGGAAUUCCUGGUGUAGCGGUGAAAUGCGCAGAUAUCAAGGAGGAACACCUAUUGCGAAGGCAGCUCGCUGGGACGUAACUGACGCUGAGACGCGAAAGCGUGGGGAGCAAACAGG
rnacentral:rRNA from 1 species